rnacentral:rRNA from 1 species
UUUUAGAUAAAUUCUGCUCAAUGAGUAAGUUAAAUAGCUGCAGUAAAUUAACUGUACUAAGGUAGCAUAAUAAGUUGCUUUAUAAUUAAAAGCUUGAAUGAAAGAAAUAAUGUGAAAGAAGCUUUUUAAACUAAAAUAGUGAAAAUUAAUAUUUAAGUGAAAAAUCUUAAAUAGAAUCAAAAGACAAGAAGACCCUUUAGAACUUUACAAAUUGAUUUAAUAUCAUUUAGUUAAUUUGUUAAAUUGGGGAGAUUUUUAAAUAAAUAAAUCUUUAGAUAUAAAAAAAUGAUUUAAAUCAGAUUAAAUUAUCCAAAUGUGAAAUAAAACAAGUUACCUAAGGGAUAACAGCGCAAAAUUUUUGAGAAGUUCUCAUUUACAAAAUAAAUUGCGACCUCGAUGUUGGAUUAAGAA